UAGGGAAUCUUCGGCAAUGGACGGAAGUCUUACCGAGCAACGCCGCGUGAGUGAAGAAGGCUUUCGGAUCGUAAAGCUCUGUUGUUAGAGAAGAACGUUGGUAGGAGUGGAAAAUCUACCAAGUGACGGUAACUAACCAGAAAGGGACGGCUAACUACGUGCCAGCAGCCGCGGUAAUACGUAGGUCCCGAGCGUUGUCCGGAUUUAUUGGGCGUAAAGCGAGCGCAGGCGGUUCGUUAAGUCUGAAGUUAAAGGCAGUGGCUUAACCAUUGUACGCUUUGGAAACUGGAGGACUUGAGUGCAGAAAGGGAGAGUAGAAUUCCAUGUGUAGCGGUGAAAUGCGUAGGUAUAUGGAGGAACACCGGUGGGGAAAGCGGCGCUAUGGUCUGUAACUGACGCUGAGGCUCGAAAGCGUGGGGAGCAAACAGG
rnacentral:rRNA from 1 species